rnacentral:rRNA from 1 species
UACGUAGGGUGCGAGCGUUGUCCGGAAUUAUUGGGCGUAAAGAGCUCGUAGGCGGUUUGUCGCGUCGGCCGUGAAAUCUCCACGCUUAACGUGGAGCGUGCGGUCGAUACGGGCAGACUUGAGUUCGGUAGGGGAGACUGGAAUUCCUGGUGUAGCGGUGAAAUGCGCAGAUAUCAGGAGGAACACCGGUGGCGAAGGCGGGUCUCUGGGCCGAUACUGACGCUGAGGAGCGAAAGCAUGGGGAGCAAACAGG